GACGAACGCUGGCGGCGUGCUUAACACAUGCAAGUCGAACGGAAAGGCCCUGCUUUUGUGGGGUGCUCGAGUGGCGAACGGGUGAGUAACACGUGAGUAACCUGCCCUUGACUUUGGGAUAACUUCAGGAAACUGGGGCUAAUACCGGAUAGGAGCUCCUGCUGCAUGGUGGGGGUUGGAAAGUUUCGGCGGUUGGGGAUGGACUCGCGGCUUAUCAGCUUGUUGGUGGGGUAGUGGCUUACCAAGGCUUUGACGGGUGGCCGGCCUGAGAGGGUGACCGGCCACAUUGGGAUUGAGAUACGGCCCAGACUCCUACGGGAGGCAGCAGUGGGGAAUAUUGCACAAUGGGCGGAAGCCUGAUGCAGCAACGCCGCGUGCGGGAUGACGGCCUUCGGGUUGUAAACCGCUUUCGCCUGUGACGAAGCGUGAGUGACGGAAAUGGGUAAAGAAGCACCGGCUAACUACGUG
rnacentral:rRNA from 1 species